rnacentral:rRNA from 1 species
CUAAAAACCUAGCCUCUCCCCCCCCCCCUUUUUUUUAACAAACCCCCGACUAAAAUAUUCUAACAGUCUAGUAAAGAAGAUUAAAAAACUUUUAAGAGCUAUAAAUAGGUACCGCAAGGGAUAGAUGAAAUAAAAAUGAAAUAAAUCUUAAGCACAAAAAAGUAAAGAUUCACCCUUGUACCUUUUGCAUCAUGGUUUAGCUAGUCUAAUUAGGCAAAAAGACCUUAAGUCUAAUUUCCCGAAACUAAGUGAGCUAUUUUAAGGCCGCUUACCGAGCUAACCCGUCCAUGUUGCAAAAUGGUGGGAAGACCUUAAAAUAGAGGUGACAAGUCUAACGAACUUAGUUAUAGCUGGUUUCUCAAGAAAAGAAUUUUAGUCCAACCUAAAGUAAAUUCAAACUUUACCCGAAUUAACCUUCUUACUUUAGAGUAAUUCAAACGAGGUACAGCCCAUUUGAAACAGGAUACAACCUUCACUAACGGGUAACAUUUAACACACGCCUUAAAGUAGGCCUAAGAGCAGCCAUCUUUUAAAAAGCGUCAAAGCUUAACCGCACAUGAAAAAAUUCAAAAAUUCACAUUGACCCCUUUAACUCUACUGAGAAUUUCUAUACCCUUAUAGAACCUUUUAUGCUAAAACUAGUAACAAGAGGAAACCCCUCUCCCAAUGCAAACCUAAGCCAGCAAGAACCCCUCACUGGCAAUUAACAAAAAAGUAGCAACCCUCACUAGAAAACCCUACUUACCAAACUGUUAACCUAACACCAGAGCAUUCCAAGAAAGAUUUAAAGAAAAAGAAGGAACUCGGCAAACAUUAGCCUCGCCUGUUUACCAAAAACACCGCCUCUUGCUAUCAUAAGAGGUCCAGCCUGCCCAGUGAUUUUAUUCAACGGCCGCGGUAUUCUAACCGUGCAAAGGUAGCGUAAUCACUUGUUUUCUAAAUAAAGACUAGUAUGAAAGGAAUCACGAAGACUAAGCUGUCUCCUUUCUCCAAUCAGUGAACCUAAUCCCCCCGGGAAGAAGCGGGGAUUCUUAUAUAAGACGAGAAGACCCUAUGGAGCUUUAAACAUCAUAACACCUGCCCCUGUAUCCACCACCCAGGUCUAUCCCCAGACGGCACCCUGAUUAUAUGUUUUUGGUUGGGGUGACCGCGGAGAAAAACUCAUCCUCCACAAUGAAGGGGAACCUCCCCCUAAACAAUAAGUUACAACUUUACGUAUCAAAAAAUUGACAUUCAUUGACCCAACAAUUGAUUAACGAACUAAGUUACCCUAGGGAUAACAGCACAAUCCGCUUCGAGAGCCCCUAUCGACAAGCGGACUUAUGACCUCGAUGUUGGAUCGGGAUAUCCUAGUGGUGCAGCCGCUACUAAAGGUUCGUUUGUUCAACGAUUAAAACCCCACGUGAUCUGAGUUCAGACCGGAGUAAUCCAGGUCAGUUUCUAUCUAUAAGGCGCUAAUUUCAGUACGAAAGGACCAAAAUAGCAUGGUCUAGGCCCCCGCAGACCGUA